ACGGAGGGUGCAAGCGUUAAUCGGAAUUACUGGGCGUAAAGCGCACGCAGGCGGUUUGUUAAGUCAGAUGUGAAAUCCCCGGGCUCAACCUGGGAACUGCAUCUGAUACUGGCAAGCUUGAGUCUCGUAGAGGGGGGUAGAAUUCCAGGUGUGCCGGCGCAGUGCGUAAGGAUCUGGAGCAGUAGCGGUGGCGUGGGCAGCCCACUGGACGAAACCCCACGCUCAGGUGCUAACGUGUGGGAUGCCCAUAG
rnacentral:rRNA from 1 species